rnacentral:tRNA from 1 species
UAGCCUAGUGGUUAAGGCUAUGGACCGCCAAUCCGGAGACGGCGGGAUCGAUUCCCGU